GACGAACGCUGGCGGCGUGCUUAACACAUGCAAGUCGAACGGAAAGGCCCUGCUUGCAGGGUACUCGAGUGGCGAACGGGUGAGUAACACGUGGGUGAUCUGCCCUGCACUUCGGGAUAAGCCUGGGAAACUGGGUCUAAUACCGGAUAGGAGCCAUCUUUAGUGUGAUGGUUGGAAAGUUUUUUCGGUGUAGGAUGAGCUCGCGGCCUAUCAGCUUGGUGGUGGGGUAAUGGCCUACCAACGCGGCGACGGGGAGCCGGCCUGGGGGGGUGGACGGCCAACAUGGGGACGGGGUGCGGGCCCGGCUCCCACGGGGGGGAGGAGGGGGGGAUAUUGGACAAUGGGGGGGAGGCUGGUGGAGGGAGGGCGGGGGGGGGGAGGAGGGCUUCGGGGUGUAAACUCGUUUUGGCAGGGGCGGAGGUGUGUGUGACGGUACCUAGUUAAGAAGCACCGGCUAACUACGUG
rnacentral:rRNA from 1 species